rnacentral:rRNA from 1 species
UACGGAGGGUGCGAGCGUUGUCCGGAAUCACUGGGCGUAAAGGGCGCGUAGGUGGCUCGUGAAGCGUGCGGUGAAAGUCCGAGGCUCAACCUCGGAUCGGCCGUGCGGACUCGCGGGCUCGAGCGUUGUAGAGGCGGGUGGAAUUCCGGGUGUAGCGGUGGAAUGCGUAGAGAUCCGGAAGAACACCGGUGGCGAAGGCGGUCUGCUGGGGUGAGGCUGACGCUGAUGCGCGACAGCGUGGGGAGCAAACAGG